ensembl:processed_transcript
GCGUAAAGUCUUUUAUUGAAGUUUGGGUUUUGGUUUUUUUUUCUGUUCCAGAUAUGGUUCAUCUCAAAGCCCUUUACCCUUUGGAGCCAGGCCUGUUCGAUUUUACAAAUAGCACGUUUUGCUUGUAGUCAGGUAGGUAUUGAUGGUUUGUGCUUCCUUAGGGAGCAUAUUUAGAUGGCCACUAAAUGAUGAACAAUGUAAAUGACAAGCAUAUGGCUGAGUUGCAAUGAUGUCAUCUUACUACUGAAGUGGGCUGAAGAAAGAAGGUGCUGAGGUGGCUGUGAUUACAUUUAAAAAUGACAUUGUUUCUCUGUUUCCAGGGUGCUGUGACAACAUGAAAAGUUCAAGCUACCUCCCAGGAUGAGUGCAGGUUUUCCUGGUGACAAAUCUCAGGCAUUCAAAGGUUAGUUAGGUUAUUUUGGAUGGGGUUUGUUCACUAGGUUUGCUGUUUCUAUGAUGAAUCAAACUAGCUCACUAUGACUGCUAAUGAAAACACAGGAACACCUGAGAAACCAAAGGGUAGUGUGGGGGCAAGGGCGCUUAUAUCCAGCCUUUUCAAGGUUUGUUAUUUUUCUCCAGGUUCUGUUAGCAGUGCCAUACUUGGGUUUACAGGUGAGUAAUUCCAGUGUGGUGUAUAUGCAUAGCAUUGGAC